UCGAGUCCUUAUCCUAUUAGUCUUAAUUUAAGACAAAUAAGUAACAUACUAAAAAUGAAUGAAAAUAUGGAUGUUAGUUGCUUUAAUAUGGCUGUACGGAUACUGGCGUGGCACGACAUCCAGCUUGCUAGGGAUGUCCCAGUCCACUACAUGGAUUUGAACUUCUGUUUGAUGUCUCAAUAUGCACGAGAUCCAAGUCGUAGUGACUAUCCUGACGUUGCUCGGUUGGCUCAGUUGUUUCUUAGCUGGCCUGAUAGCAAUGAGUAUCAUAUAUCUGAAUGCAAUAUGAUUUUAUUGCCUUGGGAUAUUGUUGGGUUAUUCCAGUUGUUCGUCUUCGAUCGGCACAAAAAAGUUAUCUCUUUUUUGGACCCGCUUCCAAUACCAUAUUUGGCGAAGACUAUACUUAAAAAUGUGCCCGAUAAUUUUAAUCUUGCCCUCGAAGUUGCAAACCCUGCAUCAAAGGAUGACAUAACUAAAUGGGGUUGCAAGGCUCCCAAAGUUCCAACAAAUCUAGAUGAGUAUGAAUCUUAACAAUGUGUUACAAUCUUAACGUAUUUAUUCGACCCGCAAUGUAACAUAAUAUGCAUGCAGUGCUCUGUCGGGUUAUUUGGUUUUUGAGUUCAUGCAUUCAUGGUACGAUGGAUUGCUACAUUUUCCAGUACCCACGGACGGUUUUCAACUAAGGAAGCGAUUUUUGGUUCACAUCCUGAAGUAUGAAGCAAAUGAAGCUUUAAGCAAUAUCCCAGCCAUUGCACGAAGCCUUAUUGAUCGCAUGAAAAAGUGGACCUUCAAGAAAGAACCGUCAUCAGCGAAUAAAUAGAAGAUACAAUGUUGCUUAGUUAUUUUAUCUGUCACUCAUAUUUCGCCAUGUAUCAAGAAUACAUAGA